rnacentral:ribozyme from 1 species
GAAAGAAAAGAGAAGGGAAAGCAAUAGAGAAAGCACCAGGGAAAAAAGGUGAUGUAAAAAUCAGAUAAUUUACUUUGUAUUUUUGGACUUUUUGUUUUGGUGGAGACGAAUUUUUUACGAGGAGAUUACACAAGGGGGAGGGAGAGAGGGGUAUGGUGAUGUUGUAAAAAGGAGAUAGAAUCGUGUGUGGGUUUU